AGUGGAUGGGGAGCAACCUAGUUGUGCGUGUGUAAAGGUAGUGCCAAGAAAAGCGGUGAUCAUGAUGAAAAUCAAUUCCCGGUACCCGAAACCGACACAGGUGGGCAAGUAGAGAAUACUAAGGGGCGCGAGGUAACUCUCUCCAAGGAACUCGGCAAAAUGACCCCGUAACUUAGGGAGAAGGGGUGCCACCGAGAGGUGGUCGCAGUGAAGAGGCCCAGGCGACUGUUUAGCAAAAACAUAGGUCUCUGCAAACUCGAAAGAGGAGGUAUAGGGGCUGACGCCUGCCCAGUGCCGGAAGGUUAAAGAAGUUGGUCAGUCUUAGGAUGAAGCUAGCGACUGAAGCCCCGGUGAACGGCGGCCGUAACUAUAACGGUCCUAAGGUAGCGAAAUUCCUUGUCGGGUAAGUUCCGACCCGCACGAAAGGCGUAACGAUCUGGGCGCUGUCUCGGAGAGAGGCUCGGCGAAAUAGGAUUGUCUGUGAAGAUACGGACUACCUGCAUUUGGACAGAAAGACCCUAUGAAGCUUUACUAUAGCUUGGAAUUGUGUUCGGGCUUCCUGUGCGCAGGAUAGGGGGGAGGCGUAGAAGGUAUUCUUGUGGGGAUACUGGAGCCAACGGUGAGAUACCACUCUCAGGAGGCUAGAAUUCUAACUUAAUUAAGGACAGUUUCAGGUGGGUAGUUUGACUGGGGCGGUCGCCUCCAAAAAGGUAACGGAGGCGUACAAAGGUUCCCUCAGACUGGUUGGAAAUCAGUCGAAGAGUGCAAAGGCAGAAGGGAGCUUGACUGCGAGAAGUACAGUUCGAGCAGGGUGGAAACACGGUCUUAGUGAUCCGACGGUGCUGUGUGGAAGGGCCGUCGCUCAACGGAUAAAAGUUACUCUAGGAUAACAGGCUGAUCUCCCCCAAGAGUUCACAUCGACGGGGAGGUUUGGCACCUCGAUGUCGGCUCAUCGCAACCUGGGGCGGAAGUACGUCCCAAGGGUUGGGCUGUUCGCCCAUUAAAGCGGUACGUGGGCUGGGUUCAGAACGUCGUGAGACAGUUCGGUCCAUAUCCGAUGUAGGCGUGAGAAUAUUGAGAGGAGCCUUCCUUAGUACGAGAGGACCGGGAAGGACGCACCGCUGGUGUACCUGUUAUGAUGCCAAUUGUAAACGCAGGGUAGCCAAGUGCGGAGAGGAUAACCGCUGAAAGCAUCUAAGUGGGAAGCCCACCUCAAGAUGAGUAUUCUGGUGUAAGGUCACGGGAAGACGACCCGUAAAUAGGCACGAGGUGGAAGUGCAGAGAUGUAUGAAGCCGAAGUGUACUAAUAGACCGUCGGCUUGACC
rnacentral:rRNA from 1 species